UCCAGCCAUAAUAGGACUCCACUGAUUCCCUCGCAAACAUCCUGCUAUUCAUAAAACUUUCUCUAAGCCGAACUUCAAAUCCAAUUGGUCUAAAAUGAGUUAGGAAGGCAUUUCUUAAGGCCUCCCAAUUGAAAAAUCUACCCAUUGAUUGCCAACUAUACCAUUCAAAAGCUGUAUCUUUUAAAGUUGUUAGUAACCAUCUCAACCAAAUGUCUUCAGUUCUACCAAGCUGUCAAGAAUUGAGAUAUAUGGUGAUUGGGAUCAAAGCCCGGCCAACCACUAAAAGUAGAUAAUAGUGCCACACUUGUAGUUCGGUCUCCUACUGCUCUCAUUUGUACUACAAUUGGUACUUCUGGCACUCCCCCGGCCAUUGGUAUUAUCACUGGUCUCCUGGUUAUUUGAAUUUGAAUUUUUCUUCCUUUAGUUUUACUUGGACCUACAAUUCCUUUUUGUCGUUCCCGUAGGAGAUUUCUUAUGCGUAAUUGCUCCUCUCUUUCUUUUACUUAUCAAUUAAUUCUUUGAUAAUCCUCUUUUUCAUGAUUAUCACUCAUAAUCUUUCAUAUUUCACAGCAAAAUCAAUACUGCCUUGAAUUAUAACUCAUAUAUUUGUAACCCUAAAACUGAUUCUUUUCACAUUUUCAUUCAACAUAU
rnacentral:lncRNA from 1 species